UACAGAGGUCUCAAGCGUUGUUCGGAUUCAUUGGGCGUAAAGGGUGCGUAGGCGGCGCGGUAAGUCGGGUGUGAAAUCUCGGAGCUUUAACUCCGAAACUGCAUUCGAUACUGCCGUGCUUGAGGACUGGAGAGGAGACUGGAAUUUACGGUGUAGCGGUGAAAUGCGCAGAUAUCAGGAGAAACACCAGUGGCGAAAGGCGACUACCUGGCCUGUUCUUGACGCUGAGGCGCGAAAGCUGGGGGGAGCAAACGGG
rnacentral:rRNA from 1 species